rnacentral:rRNA from 1 species
GCCUGCGAGUCGAAGAAUUAGAUUCUUUGCAACUGCUCGUAACACGUGGUAAAAAAAGAAAGAGGGGGGGAAAACUCGGGAAAAGGACCUCCUCAGAAUAGAUCACAACGCCUGGAACGGUGUGUGGUUGAAAGUUACGGCAUAGGAUGGGUCUGCGGCCCCUCCCGUUGAGGGGGUGUAAAGGACCUCCUAGCCAUCGACGCGUACGGGUGGUUGGGAGACAUAGCCCGGAGAUGGAUUCUGACACACCAAUCCGACCCUACGGGGUGCAACAGGGGGGAAAACUUCGCACUGCGGGAAACUGUGAUGAGGGAACUCCAAGUGGGCGCACUUAAUGUGCGCUUUUGUUGACUAAUAAUCGAUCAUGGAAUAAGGGGUGGGAAGACCUGUGUUUUCCCGCCGCGGUAUACCGCCACCUCCAGUGGUCUUGGCUUUUUAUGGGCCUAAAACCUCCUUAGCCUGUUUGGGAAAUCUGUGGGUAAAACCAACCAGCUUCACCUGGUUGAAAUUCUGCAGAAAACUGGCCAAACUAGGGGACCGGGGAGAGGUGUGGGGUACUUCUAGGGAGUAGGGGGUUAAAAUAUUGUCAUCCUUCAGAAGGACCACCACUUGGCGAAGGCCCCCCACCUGGAACUCAUCCGACCGUCAGGAGACGAACCUAGGGGACCAAAACCGGAUUUACAUACCCCGGGUAGCCCUAGGUGUAAACUCUGUGAACUUGGCGGGCCGGGGAACCCCCACUGGGGCCCCCCGGGUGCCCGGAGAGCAAAAUGUUAAAUUUCACCGGCCCCGGGCGAGUAACGGCUGCAAGAGGUUGAAACUU